CGGGCGGACUGGGGCUCCUGGACCCCCUCCCCUCCCCUCCCCCACGCCCGCCCCCGCCCUGCCCGCGGCCGCGGCCCCAGAUAAGCGCUGGCGCGGCCGGGCUCCGCGGGGCUAGUGGCACCGACUUGGGGUCGGAUGUGGCAUUUGAAGAAAGAAGGCGUGGGUCAAUAAUCAACCCGCACUUUCUCCUCCAAACUGCUGACGCGACUCUAACCGCCUUCUCAACUAAGCCAGCUGCAGGGAAGGCCGUGAGAACCAGACCUAGGAGUGGACUAUCUGGUCCAAAGGGGCUGAGAGCGUUGGAGCGAGGGGCUAGGGCAUCUGCAACGCGUACCCUUCCGGCUCGACCAGAUCAAGCCCAGCCACCCAAGAGCUGGGACCAGACCCGACCUGAGGAGUUGCUGGAGCCGCGGGAGAGCUUGGGUGAGAGCUCAACUCAGACCAGGGCCUCCACCAACCCGCAGCUAGGUGGAUUCUGGGCGGUGGGCCCAGGCGGGCCAAAUAGAACUCUGAUUUUAAGACACGGGUCUUACCCUGGCCUUAAGCCUCUCACCUGAAAUCCAAAAGGCUGGCUUUGGGGACAAGCAUAGGCGAGAUUAUUAAAACUGAUGAUUUAUAAUAGCA